AACUCAGGCCAGCUUAUCGCGUUCCGCCCUGGCGGGGCGAGGAAAGUCCGGGCAGCAUAGGGCACCCUACUUCCUAACGGGAAGGCGGACGGCUGGUGACGGCCGUUCGACAGCCAGUGUCACAGAAAAUAUACCGCCCACUUUCAAUGGGUGAAUGAGUAAAGGUGUCAAUGAAUGAAUAAGGUGCAGGACUCCUGUUUACUCUUUCUAUCAUUCUCCCAUUUUACCAUUCACUCAUUGAAAAAUGGGUAAGGGUGAAAUGGUGGGGUAAGAGCCCACCGCCCGUCGGGUGACCGACGGGGCCAGAUAAACCUUAGGGGCUGAAAGACCAAAUAAGCGUCGGACGCGCGGCUGCUCGUCGCCAGCGGCCCGCAAGGGCCAACACCGACGCGGGUAGGUCGAAUGAGGUGUCGGGUGACCGGCAUCCCAGAUAAAUGAUAAGCCAUUCGGCGCAAGCUGGAGGACAGAACCCGGCUUAUAGGCUUGGGUUGUAU
rnacentral:RNase_P_RNA from 1 species